rnacentral:pre_miRNA from 1 species
AAAAAGACAAACCCUGGUUUCCGUGUCUAACGUUUGACCGUCCGUCUUAUUUAAAAAAAAUAUUAAAAAAAUUAAAAAGAUAAGUCACGCAUAAAGUAUUAAUCAUGUUUUUCAUCUAACAAUAAUGAAAAUACUAAUUAUAAAAAAAUUCAUAUAAGACGGACAGUUAAACGUUGGUACGGAAACUUAUGGUUUGUCUUUUU